CAGUGGCGGACCCACACUAUGGUGAGGGGGUUCAACUGAACCCCCUGAAAAAGAAAAUAAUUUCACUUACCCUCUUGUAUAGGUUUUUUUUGAACCCCCUGAGAUUUUUAUUUUGCACCUUGAACCCCACAUACUCCUCUCUCUCUCACACGUACUCACAGCCUCACCCUCUUUCUCACAGUCUGGCAUGUCGUCACCAUUUGAAAUCUGCGAACCCUAGAAAUCCAAGAUGAACCAGUACCACAUCUACGAAGCCAUUGGUCGCGGAAGAUACUCGACCGUGUACAAAGGAAGGAAGAAGAAGACAAUCGAGUAUUUCGCCAUCAAAAGCGUCGACAAAUCGCAUAAGAACAAGGUUCUUCAAGAAGUUAGGAUUAUUCAUUCCUUAGAUCACCAAAAUGUGCUCAAGUUUUAUUCCUGGUAAGUAUUGAUUUUACAGAAACAGACGCGGGGGAUCUAAUGAAGAAAUCACAUUGACUAUGCUUACCUUGAAGAAAUUAAUAAAAAUUCUACUAUA